UUUAUUUUCUUCUUGUGCCUUUCAAACU
rnacentral:piRNA from 1 species